rnacentral:rRNA from 1 species
CUAAGUUCGGAUUGCAGGCUGCAACCCGCCUGCAUGAAGUCGGAAUCGCUAGUAAUCGCGAGUCAGCAUAUCGCGGUGAAUACGUUCCCGGGUCUUGUACACACCGCCCGUCACACCAUGGGAGUUGGCAACACCCGAAGUCGAUGAGCUAACCGCAAGGAGGCAGUCGCCUAAGGUGGGGUUGAUAACUGGGGUGAAGUCGUAACAAGGUACC